GGCUUUGUGCAGUGGCAGUAUCGUAGCCUAUGAGGUUUAGCCGAGGCGUGAUUAUUGCUAGUUGAAACUUCAGGCAGGCCAACAACUAGACUUCAUAUCGCGUGUCCGUGAGAUGGCAGCUAUGUAUUACUGAUUGGCUUGCUUUAAU